GGUUGGGUAUCGAUCGAUGAUCGAGCCGAUGAACCCCGCUAGGUCCGGAAGGAAGCAACGGCAGUCAGGAAAUCUCAUGCGAACGCAAUACUCAACCCCU
rnacentral:SRP_RNA from 1 species